rnacentral:rRNA from 1 species
CAAUAGCGUAUAUUAAAGUUGUUGCGGUUAAAAAAGCUCGUAGUUGGAUUUCUGCCUGAGGCAGCCGGUCCGCACUUAGUGCGUGUAUCUGGUUUGGUUUGGGCAUCCUCUUGGGGAUCGUUGCUGUGCUUGUUGCAUGGUGCGAAUCAAGACGUUACUUUGGGAAAAUUUAGAGUGGUUUACGGCAAGCUAUCGCUUUGAAUACAUUAGCAUGGAAUAAUAAUAUAGGGCGUAAGUUCUAUCUUGUUGGUUUCUAGAACAUACGCAAUGAUUAAUGGGACAAUUGGGGGCAUUCGUAUUAACGCGUCAGAGGUGGAAUUCUUAGAUUGCGUUACGACGAACUACUGCGAAAGCAUUUGCCAAGGAUGUUUUCAUUGAUCAAGAACGAAAGUAUGGGGAUCGAAGACGAUUAGAUACCG